rnacentral:ncRNA from 1 species
GAAAGCCCUAUGAUGGGAAACUACCACGUUAGGUUUGGAGAGAGAUGGACGGUUAUACAAUAGGGGAGCAAAUGCAAGCUUUUUUCUUUCAAUAGCCGGCCAAAUGACUACAGGAUCAUCGGUCUACUCUAC